CAUCUUUCAUCAAAAGUAGCAUGGUUCAGAAUCAUUCUUUGUCAAAUAGGUUAGCUGCUGAGGACCUUUUUGAGUGGAAGUGGAGUUUGAGACCUGGGUGCCAGAGAUGACUUCAGGAAUUGUAAUUGAUGGAAAAAGGAAGAUCUUGACGCCUUUAAGAAAGAGAAAACUUUGAGAUCUGAUUGUGCAAAGAAAAUUUUCAUCAAAGGAGCAAGAAAUUCUUCAUAACUUCAACACAACAUGGCCUUUGGGAACAGAAUAAAACACAAAUAAGGAAAGGCGGAAAAUGAUUGACACAUGCACUGUUCUUGGUU